GUCGAUUAUGUCUACAAUAAAAUUUGAAUCUGGGCAUGAAAAAAAAAGAAAAAAAAAAAAGAAUCUGAAUUGGAUUAGAAAUCUGCAGAGAUUGAAUCUGAAACAAUUUUUAUCAACAUGCCAAGCUUUUUGAAGAUGGAAAUCUUUUCAGAACUAAAAAAAAAAAAUCAUAACAAGAACUUUGACAAGCAAAAUACUUAAUAUAGGGUAAAGCUCUAAAGUUACUUCUUUAAAUUAAAAUACUUACAAAAAGCAUGCUUUUGAGUUAAGUAAUCUAGUUGCUGGCCAUUUCUCCUCAUUAUUAAUAAGUUCGAAAUUGCUGGAAAAAGAAAAAGAAAAGGAAGGAAUCCUAAGACCUUGGUAAGUGUGCCUUGUAUAUAUAUAUAUAUAUAUGUAAAAUUUAUAUAUUGAAUUCAAUGGUAUUAUCUGCUGAAAAUUUUACUCUUGCUCCAAGAGGGUGUAAAUAAUAAACAUCAUAUUUUUUAUUAUAGUGACUUAUUAGAGACGUUAGCCAUUGGUUACAAAUAUGAAGUACAGAGCCAUACAGAGAGAUUUUGAAUGUAGUGAGUCCUGCUAUUGGAAUUAUAUAUACGUAUACUGAUAUAUGAUGGAGUUUAGGAAUUAUAAAGUUCAGAUUUGGUAUCGGUGCUUCAAAUUUUCCUUUGAGGUUUGUUAUAAAAUUUUGUUCUCCAAUUAAGCCUGUAAACUUAAAAGUUGCAAUUACAAUUGGUACCAUAAUUGUACUUAAAAUUGCACUAUUUUAUAUGUUGACUCGAGCACAUAGUUGUUAGUACAUUUGCUUCUUUCUUUUUAAUUUAAAAUUUGAUAUAUUCUUGUUUUAUUUUAAUGCACUUAUGAUUUUCACUUCUUUUAAUUUUUUUUUUUCCUUCUUUUAAAUUUCAUUAAUUUGUGUAAUCUUUCAAACAUCUUACUUUUUUAUUAUUGAUUUAAAUUUGGGUGUGAACCUCUUUUUAUUUCACUGGAAAGUGACUCUUAUAAAGCUUGGUUCAAGCUUUUGGUCUAUGACAUAUUCAAAAUAAUGCCAAAAGUAAUAUAUCUCUAUGUAGUAAAAAGGGUUUGAAACCCUUGUUGUAUCAAUGUAGGGGUGGGCUUGAGCCCACUACCAAUUUUUUUUUUUUUUUUUUUACUAUACUAAUUUUAGCCUAACCCAAAAAAAAUAAUUUAUUAAUAGAAUUAGACCACCCAAUCAAACACGUCGACUUAGCCACCAUACUUAAAAUAAAAGUCCAAGCCAAAAAAGCCCAGGGCCGGCUUGAUCCAAGGAGGUCGCCUAGGGCCUCAAAAUUUAUAAGCCCAUGGAUGAUGGGUCAACAAAAAAACAAAAUAUUUUUAGGUCAAAUCAUUUCAGCCUCCCCAAUCGCUUCCAUCUCUAUUCUCGUGACUCUGAACCACACACACACUCUCUCUCUGCAACUGCAAGCUACAAAAUCUACAAGAAUUAGAAGUUCGAAACCCUUAUAUUUCAGUUUAUCUAUCUGUCUACAAGAAUCAAAAGUUCAAAACUCAUAUCGGCAUAUCAUUUCAGAUUGUUCAAAAAAUCAAAACCCAUAUCUUUUAGUUUCCCUUGCUCGCUGUUCCAGUUCGGGUUCGCCGUUCGCAAGCUUUAGCCGCUGUCUCUCAACUCUCAAGCUUGCCCCCCCCUCUCUCUCUCUGCAACUGCUAACUUGGUUAGCAUCGGGCCUUAACAUUUAGUAAGAACAAGGUUCAAGAAACAUGCCUCCACAGUCAUCAGGUCUCUUUUAUGAAAGAGGAGAGUUGAUGGGAAUGAGUGGAGUCGGCAAAAAGAAAAUAAGCUUAUCCUUUCAACAUCAACGGAUGAAAAGAUUACCCUCUGGUCAUAUAACAAACUUCAAGCCAAGGGCACUUUAGAUGUUUUCAACACUAGCCUUUAGUGCUGAUGGGAAAAGGCUUUUUUCGCAAAUCUGGUGAAACACAUAUUUUUGAAUGGAAUUUACAAGAACGUGUUGUGAGGAGGACCUACCGAGGAUUUCAUGGUUGGUCCAAGGGUAUUGUGAAUUUUGAUACAAUUAAGAACAAGUACUUGGUGGCAGGUGAUUCUAAUUUGAUAAAAUUUUGGGACAUGAACAAUAGUGAUCUCUUGACGACUUCUGAUGCGGGUGGAAACCUACCUACAACGCCAGCAAUCUGUUGCAACAGGGAGGGCACAUUAUUGGCUGUUUCUGCCAAUGAUAAAAAAUGAUACUGGUGCCAUUACUGCAUCUGGGACCUUUACUAAGGGUGUGGACAAAAAUGACCCCGACACAGAGAGGGAAAAAAUUAUCGAGGUGCAGGAGGAGAAAAUCCGACAUCUCCAGACAUUGGCUAUUCAACUUGCCAAUUUUUACCUUCUGUUCUAAGAAGUUAUAUUCACUACGAUAUCGAAUGGGUCAACAACUCUUUAAGUGUAGGAAUGCAUGGUUCCCAUGCUCGUCUUUGGGGUAGCAGCCUCACCUUAUUUGGUCGCAAUAUACAUGAUUGGUAAGGAGUACCUAAAGAGUUCAGCAACACUAGAUGAAAUAGAUGAAAAUAAUCUCGUCUGUAAUAAAUUUAAAAAACCAAGAUUGGUAUUUUCUUCAAUUUUUUUUUUCUUAGUUGGUACUUACACAUACGUCUUUUCUAAGACUUGAACUCUUGAUCUCCUUUUAGGAAGUAAGAGGCUAAUGCCGCUAGGUCAUUGGCCCGUUGGUUAAUCUUUUUAAAAUUUUGUGACUCAGCUACAAGAAGGAUCUUAUAGUGAUAUGCAACGAGGUUUAGAUGCCAUCAGGUCAAGGAAACGAAAGCGGAAACAGUAUUUGGCUAUAUGCAUGAUCUUUUUCAUCAGCUUCGCCAUAAUAACGUCUUGUUGCUAGUGGAUACUUUUCAAGACACACAAAAUCAAGUCGAUACACAGUGAUCAUAAUUGCGUCAGGUUUUGUGAGCAACGCAAGUGUACAAGAUUAUGCAUCGAAUAUCUUUGAUGCAUGGAUCGAGUCCUCAUUCUAAUGUAAUCUCAUGUUACUAGCUAACAGCCAUUGAGCGUUCAAUGUUUUUGUGUUUUGGGGGGGCUAAUUGCACAUUAUAUACAAAUUUCUUUACCAGAAAAAUAUAACCUUCGUGUUCAUACGUUUGCAAGAAUAUAUUUGUCUUUUGCAGUGGCUGGCCUUUUGGAGGCAUUAGAUUUUCAGAAGUGGAAUAAAUUAUGAGCUAGUGCGAAUUUAUUUGUAAUAUAUUUUGAAUCAUUAAAAAUUUUGUUGUUGUUUGUGA